rnacentral:rRNA from 1 species
GAGCGAACGCUGGCGGCAUGCCUAACACAUGCAAGUCGCACGGGGGGGCUUCGGCCUCCCAGUGGCGGACGGGUGAGGAACGCGUAGGGACCUGUCGAGGGGUGGGGGAUAACCGCGGGAAACUGCGGCUAAUACCGCAUGACGCCGCGGCGUGACAGCCGGGGCCAAAGGCGAAAGCCGCCCGCCGAGGGGCCUGCGUCCGAUUAGCUGGUUGGCGGGGUAGCGGCCCACCAAGGCGUCGAUCGGUAGCUGGUCUGAGAGGGUGAUCAGCCACACCGGGAUGGGGACCCGGCCCGGACUCCUCCGGGAGGCAGCAGUGGGGAAUAUUGGACAGUGGGCGCAAGCCUGAUCCAGCAAUGCCGGGGGGGUGAAGAAGGUCUUCGGAUUGUAAAGCCCUUUCGGCGGGGACGAUGGUGCCGGUACCCGCAGAAGAAGCCCCGGCUAACUUCGU